rnacentral:lncRNA from 1 species
ACUCUAGAAGAAACCCUGGACCAACAAUGAGAAGAUUCUUUACUUAAAACAUUAAAAACCAAACAAAUCAAAAAGUAAGGCAAAGAAUUUUUGUGGCAAAAACCUAAGAAACCUAACUACAGAGUUAUUUCUUAAGGAACACAAAAUAAGUGUUCCACCGUGGCAAGUUCACAUUUUUCCUUAAAUGAUGUUGCUGUCAAUGAAAAUGGUUGGGGAGAACUGAUAAAACACCAUCAAAACUAAAACUAG